GAAGUAAAAAAGUAGGAAAACGACAAUAUAAAAGCGGGAAAUCUCUGAAUAGAUAAAUUCACAGAAUCGAGAUAUUGGCGAUUUCUAUGACGAGUCGACUCGUCUUUCCCAAUUAAGAUCUUCGCGAUCCAAAUCUCAAAUGAUCAAAAGAAAGAAGAAAAUCCAUAAACAAGUGAUUUUUUGGGGUUAAGUCUGGCGCGACAAAUGUGAAUACAUCGUAGAAGCGACGUAACCCGUAUACAGGAAGUGACCGGCCAGAAGAACCGAGGAAGUUCAUAUUACAGUGUUCGUUAAAUGUCGGAUGGAUAUAUCAGUGCAAUAUGGAUUUCAACAAUAUCUAUUUAAUCGCACAGUUGCUGAAUAACUCGAAGCAAUUCGUUUGCAUUUUCUAUGAAAGUUUCUUGAUGCAAAUAUAGAAAGCGAAACGGAUAAUUGAGUGUUUUAUCUGUUCAUUAACAUAACAAACUUUUAUGUAGAGAUCAAGAUCAAACUUACGAGAAUAGUAGAUAAGUUCGGCGUGCACGUGAAUACGUUUUAUUGUUGAUAAAAGAUAUAUGAAAGCUAAAUAGACGGUAAUUUUUAGAUAACUUUUUAACCAGCAUUUCUUGUAUACAGCGGAGUACAAAAGUUUCUGACCAUAUAAAUUUAUUCGUUUAAUAUUCGAAAAGCGACG
rnacentral:misc_RNA from 1 species